rnacentral:rRNA from 1 species
UACAGAGGUGCUCAACCGUUGUUCGGAUUCAUUGGCGUAAAGGGUGCGAUAGGCGGUCGCGCAAGUCGGAUGUGAAAUCUCAGGCUCAACCCUGAACUGCAUUCGAUACUGCGUGACUAGAGUGCUGGAGAGGAGACUGGAAUUUACGGUGUAAGCAGAUGAAAUGCGUAGAUAUCGUAAGGAAGACCAGUGGCGAAGGC